ACGCAGAAGGGAGGUGGUCCAAACAAUGGUUGAUCAUACUUGGGCUAGCGAGGUGGCUGUCCGCUAGGACGCCGCGACUCCGGACUCUGUCCGGACGUCUCGCGACGUUCGGCGAAUCCACGACAAUCACCGGAACCCCGGGCUGCCGGAGGGCGGGCAUAUCCCGUCUUUGGUCCAUCCGGCCCUCACGUCUCGAGCGGAGGAGCGAGCCCGGGGUUCUCUUUUU
rnacentral:sRNA from 1 species